rnacentral:rRNA from 1 species
CCUUGUACACACCGCCCGUCAAGUCAUGGAAGCCGCCAGUGCCUUAAGUCGCCCGAUCACUCGGGUGCCCACGGCAAGGGUGGUGACUGGGACU